UUACCGGUGAAAUUCCGGUACGGGGUAGUUGCCAAGAAGCCCGUUAGCUAAUUCCGGUGCGUAGCAAUAAUUCUGGGUACUGAGCGGGAGGAUAAAGUACCUGUCUAAACACCAGAGCAAGCGAAAAUGCAGUACAUUUUGAAU
rfam:Pseudobacteroides cellulosolvens ATCC 35603 = DSM 2933 ctg1, whole genome shotgun sequence.